GGGAUGAAGAGGGUAUUUCCGGGACAGUUGAAGGGCCCAGAUCUGAGCCAGCCUGAACAGUCUGGAAGUGUUUGACCCAGAUUGUUUAAACCAGAGAGGCUGAAAACAUAAUUUUAAAAAAUCAGUAUAAUUGCUUUAGUAAGUGCUAAAGCGAAGGACUCUCCAUGUUUUAACACUGAAGGAUCAAAACCGGUUUGUGAUUCUGCACAACCACCUUAUGGAAAUAGCAACUGAGAAAAACUUCCACCAGGCUGCUGGCUCCAACCAACAUCAUGGCUAAUUGCCCAAUUCCUUCGAAGUGGAGAUGGUGCUGAAGAAAACACUGCCCAGAAAGAUCCUCAAGGGGAGGUGGAGGGGACGCGUCAACACAGGAGGCCAGCCACAUUCUGAGAAGAGCGGAAACGAGCAUUGUAGAACUCCCUAAUGGCCCGCUACAGAAAAAAGGGAUUUGCUUUUCCAAUGCCACAGAAUCGCAUCCGGAAAACACUAAUUUUUUAAUUCGGAUUUAUUUAUGAUCGCAAAGGAAAGGCAUGUUGAUUUCUCG